rnacentral:rRNA from 1 species
AUGGAGAAAUCAGGCGACGCGGAACCACACCAAGCUCCAAUACUACCGCCUCGUGUGUUGCCUGCUCCACCUCCUUACGGAUAUGCUGCUUCUUAUCAUGUCCCAGCCGCUGGUGCUACCAAUCCAAGUGUUCAUUCAUUCUGGUCUAUUUCUUUGGAUAAUUUAUGGAGGCCGUGGUUCUGGUAUUUGUAUGUAUUCACAAAUUGUUCACAAGGCCUGGAGGAAAUAAUAGGGAGGAUUGGAGAUGCACCGGGCAUGCCAUGGCAACGAAACAAAAGCUUAUUACUUCAAUUCAAUUAUGCAAGUUGA